rnacentral:rRNA from 1 species
AGUGAACGCUGGCGGUAGGCCUAACACAUGCAAGUCGAACGGCAGCACAGUAAGAGCUUGCUCUUACGGGUUGCGAGUGGCGGACGGGUGAGGAAUACAUCGGAAUCUACUUUUUCGUGGGGGAUAACGUAGGGAAACUUACGCUAAUACCGCAUACGACCUACGGGUGAAAGCAGGGGAUCUUCGGACCUUGCGCGAUUGAAUGAGCCGAUGUCGGAGUAGCUAGUUGGCGGGGUAAAGGCCCACCAAGGCGACGAUCCGUAGCUGGUCUGAGAGGAAGGGACCCAAGACUGGGAAGGAGAUACGGGGAAGAGUCCUACGGGAGGCAGCAGUAGGGAAAAUUGGACAAUGGGGGCAAGACUGAUCCAGCGAGGCCGAGUGAAGGAAGAAGGCCUCCUGGGUCGGAAACAGCUUUUACAUGUGGAUAAAAUACCCGUGCGCGGGGAAUGGAAGGUAACAGGGGAAUAAGCCACGGCGAACUACGUG